GACGAACGCUGGCGGCGUGCUUAACACAUGCAAGUCGAACGGAAAGGCCCUGCUCUUGCGGGGUUCUCGAGUGGCGAACGGGUGAGUAACACGUGAGUAUCCCGUCCCUGACUUUGGGAUAUCUUCAGGAAAAUGGGGCUCUUAUCGGAGAGGAGCUCUUGCUGCACAGUGGGGGUUGGUAAGUUUCGGCGGUUGGGGAUGGACUCGCGGCUUAUCAGCUUGUUGGUGGGGUAGUGGCUUACCAAGGCUUUGACGGGUAGGCGGCCUGAGAGGGUGACCGGCCACAUUGGGACUGCGAUACGGCCCAGACUCCUACGGGAGGCAGCAGUGGGGAAUAUUGCACAAUGGGCGGAAGCCUGAUGCAGCAACGCCGCGUGCGGGAUGACGGCCUUCGGGUGGUAAACCGCUUUCGACUGUGACGAAGCGGGAGUGACGGUAAUGGGUAAAGAAGCACCGGCUAACUACGUG
rnacentral:rRNA from 1 species